ensembl:snRNA U1 U1 spliceosomal RNA
AUACUUACCUGGCAGGGGAGAUGCCAUGACCACGAAAGAGGUUUUUCCCAGGGCAAGGCUUGUGCAUUGUACUCUGGAUGGGCUGACCCCUGCGAUUUCCCCAAAUGUGGGAAACUUGACUGCAUAAUUUGUGGAAGUGGGGUACUGUGCCCAUGCUCUCCCCUU